rnacentral:rRNA from 1 species
CACCAAGGCGACGAUCAGUAGGGGUUCUGAGAGGAAGGUCCCCCACAUUGGAACUGAGACACGGUCCAAACUCCUACGGGAGGCAGCAGUGAGGAAUAUUGGUCAAUGGACGAGAGUCUGAACCAGCCAAGUAGCGUGCAGGAUGACGGCCCUAUGGGUUGUAAACUGCUUUUAUACGGGGAUAAAAGGUGUCACGUGUGACAUUUUGCAGGUACCGUAUGAAUAAGGACCGGCUAAUUCCGUGCCAGCAGCCGCGGUAAUACGGAAGGUCCGGGCGUUAUCCGGAUUUAUUGGGUUUAAAGGGAGCGUAGGCUGCCGGUUAAGUGUGUUGUGAAAUGCAGGCGCUCAACGUCUGCCUUGCAGCGCAUACUGUCCGGCUUGAGUACGCACAACGUUGGCGGAAUUCGUCGUGUAGCGGUGAAAUGCUUAGAUAUGACGAAGAACUCCGAUCGCGAAGGCAGCUGACGGGAGCGUUACUGACGCUGAAGCUCGAAAGUGCGGGUAUCGAACAGGAUUAGAUACCCUGGUAGUCCGCACGGUAAACGAUGGAUGCCCGCUGUUUGUCCUCAAGGAUAAGCGGCCAAGCGAAAGCAUUAAGCAUCCCACCUGGGGAGUACGCCGGCACGGUUAAACUCAAGGAAUUGACGGGGGCCCGCACAAGCGGAGGAACAUGUGGUUUAAUUCGAUGAUACGCGAGGAACCUUACCCGGGCCUGCAUUGCAGAGACGAUCAGAGAUCGCUGAGGUCCUUCGGGACCUCCUGUGAGGUGCUGCAUGUUGUCGUCAGCUCGUGCCGUGAGUGUCGCUUAAGUGCCAUACGAGC